rfam:Capsicum annuum cultivar Zunla-1 chromosome 5, whole genome shotgun sequence
GGGCUUAUGAUGAUAACUAAAAUUAUCUUAGCGAAUUUCAGAGAAAUUUAAUUAUCAGUGAUCUGAUUGUUACACACACUGAGGUGC